UUCCCUGGUAAGCGGUGGUAGUUUAGCCCACUGCAGCCCUUCCAGGGGGAGAACUAGCAGUGUCUCCUGAGAUCCACACCAUGCUGGAACUUAGGACUCUGGGAAGCCAAGCCAGCACCUCCCCUCCCUGCAAGCGAAGGCAGGGUGGCAGCCUGCAGCCCUUCCAGGGGGAGAACUAGCAGUGUCUCCUGAGAUCCACGCCAUGCUGGAACUUAGGACUCUGGGAAGCCAAGCCAGCACCUCCCCUCCCUGGUAAGCGGCGGUAGUUUAGCCCACUGCAGCCCUUCCAGGGGGAGAACUAGCAGUGUCUCCUGAGAUCCACACCAUGCUGGAGCUUAGGACUCUGGGAAGCCAAGCCAGCACCUCCCCCUCCCUGCAAGCGGAGGCAGGGUGGCAGCCUGCAGCCCUUCCAGGGGGAGAACUAGCAGUGUCUCCUGAGAUCCACGCCAUGCUGGAACUUAGGACUCUGGGAAGCCAAGCCAGCACCUCCCCUCCCUGGUAAGCGGCGGUAGCUUAGCCCACGGCAGCCCUUCCAGGGGGAGAACUAGCAGUGUCUCCUGAGAUCCACGCCAUGCUGGAACUUAGGACUCUGGGAAGCCAAGCCAGCACCUCCCCUCCCUGGUAAGCGGCGGUAGUUUAGCCCACUGCAGCCCUUCCAGGGGGAGAAGUAGCAGUGUCUCCUGAGAUCCACACCAUGCUGGAGCUUAGGACUCUGGGAAGCCAAGCCUACGUCUCCCCUCCCUGUAAGCCGAGGCAGGGUGGCAGCCUGCAGCCCUUCCAGGGGGAGAACUAGCAGUGUCUCCUGAGAUCCACACCAUGCUGGAACUUAGGACUCUGGGAAGCCAAGCCAGCACCUCCCCUCCCUGGUAAGCGGCCGUAGUUUAGCCCACUGCAGCCCUUCCAGGGGGAGAACUAGCAGUGUCUCCUGAGAUCCACACCAUGCUGGAACUUAGGACUCUGGGAAGCCAAGCCAGCACCUCCCCUCCCUGGAACGAAGACUAGGCAAGACAUUUAUGGUUUAAUGGGCACAAGGAGAAACACAGUACAGAAGCUCUGUUCCCAGCAGGCUGUGUGGCCACCGCCUUGGGUAACAUGCUGAAUCAAAGCUGGGGACUCACUGCUUCAAGUCCCAGGAAGAAAGAAAAACACUGACAAAGAGUGACGAGGAAGGUGGAGCCAACUCAGCCACUGCCUGGAGCUGGGGACCUGUCUGGGGCACAGAAGGACAAACUCCAUCGCACGUUGCCGUCUUCAAAACAGGUGCUCAGCUUACCAGAUACAGGCCUGCAAACAGGAAAUAACAGGGAGCAAAAGAAGAAAAGAAGCCUGCCUGGUGGGACCGACACUCUAACAGGACAGGUGAUGGGAGCACACACAGCCAGUGGUGAACACCACAGUGCAGAAACACAAAGGUGUGGCCCUGGAAGAUCACAAAUAUCCUGCUUUCCGUGAAUCCAAGAAUAAAGCCCCUUCAGAUGCACCCUGCUAUGAAGCAGAUGAGGAGAAGACCACACUGCAGCAUCCUCAAAUCCACAGCCUGUGCUUUGCUGCACCCCUUGCAAUCUGAUUUCUCUGUCUACUCCAUCAGGCUGAAUCCCACCCUGGUGGUGUAUUAGAUGAUACAAAUGCAGCUUGGCCAAGCUGAGGACUUUCCAUGGCCGGACCAUUAUGCUUCUGAUCACCCAUCAGAGCCAUGAUGUCUCCGAAGCAUGGCUGCUGGGUCAUCACCUUGCCUUUUCCCUGUUCGAUAUUUUUACCCACAUCUUGAUGAGGGCAUAGAUGUCAUGGUUAUCAAAUUUGCAAAUAACACCAAACUGAAAGGCAGAGCUAAUGUGUCACAUGACAGGAUUAGGAAUCAAAACGAUCUUGACAGGGCAGAACAACCAGAUAAAAACCGCAAAAUGAAGUGAACCAUCAGGCUAUGAUCGAAAAGCAAACAAAUAAACACACACACACAUGAAUAGGGAGACCAGGUACCAGAGGUCUCUAAUGAGGGAAGGAAAAAUUAGAGGCUUUAGUUGGUCUCCAAUUAAACAGUAGUCAACAUAUCGAUACAGCUGCAUAAAACAUCUUAGGCUGUGCCAUACAGCAUUACCUACAUGGGGAAAGGCAAUAUCAGUGGUGGAAGAGUACUCAUUUUGAGUCCCAUACUUAAGAAUAAUACUAAUUUUUUUAAGUUUUCAAAGAAAGGUGAUGGGAAAUGCAGCUGUCCUAUUAUAUAAGGAGUUGCUGGGGACCUGCCCACUAUAGGAAACGGCACUUAUGGAAAAUUAAUACAUAUUUCCGAGCUUUGUAAGUGGUUCCUACUGAUAAGAACACUUUGUCACUUCUAAACCUGUUAACUUAGGGCCUCAGCAAAGAACUUUGCCCUUUUAUGGCUCAGAGUAUUAUAUGUAAACGACAGCUAAUAUCAAUUCUUUGGGUUAUUAGAACGAUGAACAAAGACACAUUGUAAAUACGCAGUACUUUACCUGAACACAGCCCAUGCUCAAAGCGGGUGGGUAUCUUUAUUCUCACCUCCCUAAGAAGUAGAAGAGAACAGGUGGAGGAAGGAGGGGGCCCAUACCACAAAAGCAUAGAGGCUUCUGAAAUGUUUUGUUCCUUUCCAUGAAUUUGCCAUGUAGAUGCUGACUGACUGCCUGGGAAUUUGAGAAGAAAUUUUUCCUCUGAGUGAGCGUAGAACUAGAAAUUUUCUACAUUCCUUUCAGUGGAUAAUUUGUGAGCCCCUUAUAAAGGCAAGGUUUUUGAAGUUCUGAAACCCUCUAUGCAUGUGGGUCACAUGUCAGACCCUCAUAAAACUAGAAUCUAUGGAAACAGUUACAGUUAAGGUUGUCUUCCUGAUCUGUGCUUUCCUCCGGGACCCAUGCUGAGAGAUGGCUGCAUCCGUUACCUCUUUCCACAAAUGGGGAAAUGAGCAGAGACUGGAAAUUUACACAAGCUCCUCAGGGGCCAAGCAGAGGUUCAAACCCAAGCUUCUGAAGUGAAAGCCCGCCAGGCCCACAUGCUCAGCCCCCAGAUUGUCCUUCCCCCACUGAUGCAGCAAGGGGAUCCCAUCCUGAGAGGUUUGCAGACGCCCUGAGGUUUCUCCAUGACCACCACGCUGUCCUCCAAGUGCAUCUAAGUUAAAAUAAACUUGACGUCACAGUUGCCUCGGUGGGUGAGCUGAGAAGUGUGUUCUGCACAGUCAGGGAGUGUCAUGCUCCACUAAAACUCGCUCUGUGAACUGGUGAGGCUCUCCUUGGGCCCUGAUGUGUGUCCUACUCCUCCGUGUUGGGCAGCACUCACCCAGAGGUGGGUUCCCGCCCCGGUCUAGUGUGCUCUAAUUCACCUUGUCCUUACCUUGUCCUUACCACUCCAGGCCCACACUACUGAACAUGCACUUUCUGCCAUCAAUCAGCACUGUCCUCAGGGCCAACAACCGGGUGGACUGGACUCUCCAAAGAGUGGACCUCAUCAGCUGGAGGAGCUGCUCCCCCCAGGGGCCACGGCUCAGGAGCAGCCCUUGCUGUCUCCCUGGUUCCAGACGGGCGUAGGUGGGGGGACAGGAUGAAGGAUGCCUGGUUUUGUAAGGUGGAGGUACUGCUUACUCAGAGCAAAUCUCAGUGCCUGGCAAAGAAUAGAAAGGCACAGCACGGGAGUGGGCGCAUGGGAGGGAGCAGGAGAAACGAGCUGCUGAAGCCGCAGGGACUGGUGUUUAUCCAACGAGUGGGCUGCCGAGAGGAAGCAGGGGAAAUUGGUAGGAACAAGUGAGAAAGUUAAAA